GCUUCAACGCCUACGACACAUCAGCCCAGAACAAUGGUCCAUCCCGUCCUCCAUCGUCAUUUUCGUCCAAUCAGAAUCCAUUUGCCGAUUCCAUUUCACCAGAAGCUCCACAAGCUCAGCCAGUUGCAGCCGCCCGUCGCCAGAGCACAACCACGCCGACUGGAAGAUUUGGUGGAAUUGGAGCAAUUACCGGAGCAGCCACGUUGCCCCAUGCGAUGACGUCACCUGUG
rnacentral:sRNA from 1 species